rnacentral:lncRNA from 13 species
UGUGGUUAUAAAUUCUUGUUGCUAAUUUAAAAAGAUUCUCAUUUGUGUGAUUUCUGUAAGAUCAUGCAGACGUUUCAAGUGAUCUCGAGUUCCAGAAAUGGACUCCUUUUACAGAAAAACCUGAUGCCGCCUGAAGAAGGAAAGCGACAAGCAACUGUAACUGACCAAUGGGGGGGGGGGGACGCGGAGACACGCAGGAAGUUGCCUAGGACACAGGAAGUAGUUACAGAACAGUCAGUCAAUCAAAGGAACCCAACCUCUGCUCCUCCAAAAACACAAUUCUCCUUACAAAAACAACGGAAGCUGAAGACGGAGAGGAGGGUUGAUCUAUCGUCUGUUUUCUUUCCCUGUCUGUUUGGAGGGGGGGGGUGGGGGUGCUUUUUUUUCAGUUUUUUUCCCCCACAAAAACAUUAAGAAAGACUUUGUUUGGUGUAACUAUAGCCUUCAAGUAGUGACAACGACCUCGAGACUGCAUGAAAACUACUGUAAAAGCUUCCACAACGUGUUUCGUAGGUGGUAGAAAUGCAAGACACUUUGUCACUGUUGCUAGUCGACGGAGAAGACGAAGACCAGUAAAAGCAUCCUUCCAGACAUUAUAGCCGCGGAAAGAUUCAGAACAAAGUGCUAUAUUAUUUUAAUACAUUGUUGGAGGUUUUCAUCAUUUUUUACGAAAAGCUGCAGCAUGGCGUUAUUGAGUCUGUAAAUAGUAUAUCUAUCUAUAUAUAUAUAUAUAUAUAUAUACACAUACAUAUAUAUAUAUACAUAUAAGUAUUAUAAUUGUUACUAGGUGUGGACUCGGAACCAAGUCAUUUAUAAACCUCCAAUAUGUUAUUGUGUUCUGAAGCAUUAUUCCAUGUUUUAACGGGGGAGGGGGGGCAGAUGGUGGUCCCAGACCUGAUAUACCUUAGAGAGAGCGGUAUAGUCCCAGACACCUAUCAUUAUACACCCCUUAACAAGCACCUGAUUGGCUAACAGAAUGCCUGAACUCACUGUGUUGUUGAGGUAAUGUUUGACACACACUUGGAAGAGGAGUCACUGAGUCAUCUAUGGAUCAGCAUACUCUCCGGCCCUGUCCUGCCCUGUCCUACCCUACCCUGUCCU